UUUAACGUCCAACAACCGGGCCAAGCAGUUGUCUUGGUUUCCAAAAAGCUCUCUUGCCGGGAAGUUUCUAUAUUUUGAUUGUUUUAAAAAUAGUUAAAAAAAAAAAAUAAGAAAAACCAGAGCCAUGUUCAUCGUCAAGCUAUUUACUCUAAUGUUGGCUGUGACUGGAGCCUGGAGUGCCGCCCUCCCGGAAAAUCAGGUGGCAACUGCCAGGACGACGGCAACAGGUGACUUGGCCACCGCGGAGACUUCAGCUAAAUUGCUAAAUCUCUUUGGAACCGGCUCUGGAUAUCCCAACUAUGGCUAUAGCUACAAUCGUCCGACCAACGGAUACUAUCCCGGCUAUAAUACGAACUACUAUGGCUCAUCUAGUUACUAUCCAGGCUCGGGAUAUGGCUCUAGCACUUACUACCCAAGCCAGGGAAACUACGGAUCUGCGAACUACUACCCUACCCAGGGCUAUAACUAUUAUUCCACCAGCAGUUAUCCCACCACGAACAUUUUGGGAACCCAAGGAGGAGGCUAAGGUGGAUAUGGAGGUUACGGAGGUAAUGGAGGUUUGAAGCAGUAUUCGGGAUAUUGGCAGCGGGACUAUCAGGGUCAAAGGAAUAGGGGCUAUGGCUAUUACGAUGAUACAGAUCGUUAUGGGCUGCCCUUUUCCAGAGAUCGUGGAUAUGGCUCGAGUUCCUAUCGUGGCUAUAACUAAGAUUCUGCUUUUGUGUGUUGUUAUUGCAUUUUUGUUACCGCUUUUACCCCUUGCCACCCUGACUAAUAAUAAUAAACUAAAAACAAAAGUUACAUUUCCAUGAGGCAUUCAAAUUACCUGCGGACACGCCCAAUUGCACACUCAAAAUUGCCCAUUUGUCAUUCGUUCAUAUUCAUGCUCUCAGUGCUGGUAGAAAAAUGUGUGUUAUUGUCUCGUCCGAAGCCUAAAAUUAAAUGCAUUUUUGCAGCUUCAACCUGAAAGUAGACUACAUAUAUUUUUUGUUUUGUUUGGCUGCCUCGCGUUGCCAACUUUUUCAUAUUUCUUUUUUUACCAAAAACGCUCUCUUCAUUUUCAGGCUAUUUGCGCACCACUUUUGGCUAAAACC